GGGACUGUGGCUCAGUGGUAGAGUGCUUGCCUAGCAUGUGUGAAGCACUGGGUUCAAUUCUCAGCACCA
rnacentral:tRNA from 1 species